UCUGCCUAAAAAUAGAAGGUACAUCCUGCCCAGUGAAAACUUUCGACGGCCGCGGUCCCCUGACCGUGCUAAGGUAGCAUAAUAACUUGCCUCCUAAUUAGAGGCUAGAAUGAAUGGACAAACGAGAAUCUAACUGUUUCUUGAAAAUAUAUAAAAAUUUAUCUCUAGGUGAAAAAGCCUAAAUCUUAUUAAAAGACAAGAAGACCCUGCAGAGCUUAAUAAAACCACAUUAAAUUAAUGUCUUCAUAUUUUGUUGGGGCGACAAAGGAAAAUAUAAAUCUUCCUUAAAAUAAAAGGACUCCUCUCCUCACUAAAGAUCCUACUCCAGAUCAAAGACUAAAGCUACCUCAGGGAUAACAGGCUUAUCUUUCUCGAGAGCUCAUAUCGACAGAAAGCUUUGGCACCUCGAUGUUGGCUUAAGAUCCCUGAAGAUGCAGCAAUCUUCAACGGUAGGUUUGUUCACCCUUUAAAAC
rnacentral:rRNA from 1 species